rnacentral:lncRNA from 1 species
CUUUACCCCUUCCCUUAUCCUGUGACCCAACAAAUACCUUUGUCAGAGCAGGUUGAGAUUUGCAUGCAGAAUUUCCAGAAUGCUGAAUAUCAGCACGGAUCACUGCAAAGAAGUUGGAACUCAUCUCACAUGAACUUCUCAGGUUCUCUUACAAGACCACCAACAUUCUUCAAACAUCAGUGAAAUAAAACAGGAGGAGGGUUUCGAGCUCUGGAUCCUCAGCCUGGAAAUGUCACAAUUUAAUCCCAAAGGUUUGCUGUGAAGUUGUAAGCAUGACAGUGUGAAACUCGACAGAUUAUUCUUGAAUUCUUUGUUUGUUUUCGUUGUGACCCGACUCUCAUAAAAUUUAUGUUUUCUUCCAAACCCCCAGGGUGUGUGGUCAUAUGACUUAAAUAGAGAAAAACAUUGUCAAAACAGUAUUGAGGAGUUAUCACUUUUACAUUGUUUUAAUUAAAGAAAAAGCCUUUCUAUCCAGGUCUAAUACCAUCAUUUUUAUGGGCAUGUUAAAGUAUCUAAUCUAAUACUGUAGUUAGUAGUAGUAUUUAGUAUUUUUAGUAUUAUUAUAGUUUUAUCUGUAUCUUAAAGAAAAAGUCAAUAAAUAUGAAAACAGAGUUUGUUUUGGGAAU